AUUGUAAGGUCCUCAAAGAGAUUGCAAUCCAAGACUAGGUUUGUACCCCAUAGAGUUCCUUUGGCUCCUAAAGGAGAGUAAGCAGUGAUAUGUAUACCCUUCUUCUCACAGAAGUCUCUCAGCUUCUUUUGCUGCCAAAGUGGGUUCAUCUCCACUUGAUUAACUAUCAGGAGAAAUCUUUGCGGUAGUAAGCAGGGUCUCAAGCUUCUUGCAUGAAAAGUUGCUCACUCCAAUGGAUUUUGUCAGGCCAAGCUUGUGACACUCUUCCAUAGCUUCCCACACAGAGUUUAUAUCAAAUGGAACAAGGUCCUCUUUCUUCACAGCCAGCUCAUAUUCACCUGGCUUCACGCUUACAGGAAAGUGAAUCAGGUACAGGUCAAGGUAAUCCAAUUUAAGAUUCUUGAGCGUUUUAUGUAAUGCAGGGAGGACACGAUCAUGAUGAGCGUCACUGCACCAAAGCU
rnacentral:misc_RNA from 1 species